GAUACAGGCGCGCAAAGGGGGAAGCAGCUGUAGUUGCUCUUGGCGCUAUUUAAAUUUGACUGGAACAUCUAGCACCCAUUUUCCUUCCUUCCGUCACCCCAAAUCUUCGAGUUAUCUAGCUUGUCUUGACGAAAAAAGUUUGAUACUUAGGACAGCACUGCAAACUCCUCGCCCCUUCCUUUCUCCCGCCACCACUUCACCAAAAAGCUGGUAGAAUUUUCUAAAACCUUCCAAGUUGAGAGUUAGAAAUUCUUGGAUAAGCCGGCUUUUAUUUAUUUUUUUAAAGUGGAGACAAGAGGUCUGAAGCAUAUUGCGGGAUUUCUCAGCAAAAUAAGACUAUAAACUACAGAGAUGAGUUGCUGAUCCACAAGAAACUGGGAAUUGUUCACAUGGUUUGGUGAUCAGUAAAAAAUAAUUAUUAUUAUUAUUAUGUGGUGCAGUUAAGCUUUAUGAAAAUACAGUUGUGGCUCUUCAAGCCACUUCAUCUAGCCGAAUGACCCUUGGCGAUAUUUUAUGCCUAUAUCCUAAUCUAAUAAGAUUUCCUUCGCCCUCCAAAAACCCAGUAGAAGUGGUGUGACACUAGGAGGACCAAAAUAAAUGAAUUGCACAUGCCACUUCAUUCUACUUUUAAUCUUUUCUGUGAAUUCAGUGGAGCUCAGUUUAUCCUCAAAUGAAAAGAUGAAACCCAUUUGUUUCUCCUUCUUCCUUCUGCGUUCAAACAAUGACUUUAUUUGAAACCACCGAAAAAAUAAUAAAACCUUAAAACCUUUGCUAAAGCAGGGAACAACUACAGCCCUUAUUUAGAACUGAAAAAAAAAAAAAAAUCUCAUCUUCCAAUCAAGUUUUUGUGAGGAUUUAAAAGAGGAUGAUCUCCCUUCACGAAGAACUAUCUCCAGGACAAGAAAUUCUCAUCCAGGAUGCUACCCUUCACUCCGGAGUAACUGCUUAAUUUGUCUAAAGAAAAGGUCUGUCUGAUGGAGGAAACUUGAUGAAAUUCAACGACCUUUUCCCUUACCUCCUUGCCUAUUCAACCGCACAAAACGUGUAUGAGGGAAGGGGGAAAAAAUCGAAGGGGGUCUGAAAUACCCUUAACUAGCAAACUUCUUAGCCAUGGACAACUAAUAAAAUAUGGAGAGGAAUUUGCAGAGACUACCAGA